UACGUAGGUCCCGAGCGUUGUCCGGAUUUACUGGGCGUAAAGGGAGCGCAGGCGGUGCGCCAAGUCUGAUGUGAAACCCCGGGGCUCAACCCCGGGCAUGCAUUGGAAACUGGCGGGCUGGAGUGCCGGAGAGGUAAGCGGAAUUCCUAGUGUAGCGGUGAAAUGCGUAGAUAUUAGGAGGAACACCAGUGGCGAAGGCGGCCUGCUGGGCUUUAACUGACGCUGAGGCUCGAAAGCGUGGGUAGCAAACAGG
rnacentral:rRNA from 1 species